UUAGUCUCGCCACCACCGCGGGAAGUGAGGGCAGCACUGGCGCCCAGCACCUGCCACCGGUGGGGGACGUACUUCGGAGGAACGGAAAACCAGAGUUGUUCCCCAGGGCCAGUCCACUGAGGCUGAAGUCUGUAAGCCUGGAAAGACCUUCAGCAGUCAUCUCCCAAUUCCAAAAUGACCACCCUGCCCUCACUGCCCAUGACACGCCCGAAGCUUGCGUCCUUAGCCAGACAGAAGCUGCCAUGCUCCCCCAGUACAAUUCCAAGGUCUCAAUUGAUCAAAGAAAAAGAUGGCAUAGAUCAUUACCUGGAGGUGAAUUUCAAAGGAUUGUCAAAAGAGGAGGUUGCUGCCUACCGGAACUCAUACAGAAAGACCAUUUGCGUGGACAUGCUGCGAGAUGGUUAUCAUAAGUCCUUUACUGAGCUCUUCGCGCUGUUGGAGAAGUGGGACGCCAUGAGGGAGGCCGCGAGGGUCCGGUCCAUCUUCUGGUCGCAGAGGCCCCUGGAGGAGCAGCCUGAUAAGCUGGAUCACCUCUACUACUACCUGACCAGGGCGGAGGUGGCUGAAAGGAAAGAAUUCCUUGAAGAUGUCUAUAAUAACAUCUAUGCUCUGGCCUGUUACUUCAGUAAUUCUGAAGACAAGUGGGUAAGGAACUACUUCUACCAACGAUGUUUCCAAAUUGCUCAACUGAUCAAAUCGGACGGUGGGAAGAAAGAAGCCGAGGCGCAUGGACACAUGGGACUUCUCUUCGAGGAGGACGGUCAGCUUCUAGAAGCUGCCGAGCAUUAUGAAGCGUUCCAUCAAUUGACGCAAGGGCGGAUAUGGAAGGAUGAGACAGGCCGCUUUCUCAACUUGUUGGCCUGCGAGAGUCUCCUGAGGAUUUACAGAUUACUCGCAGACAAAAUGCUGGAAAAUAAAGAUUACAAACAAGCCAUCAGAAUUCUAAUAAAAGCCUCUAAAAUAGCCAAAGAAGGAAACGACAAAAAGAUGGAAGGAGAGGCUUCCUAUUACUUGGGCUUAGCAUACUUGGCUGCAGGAGAGCAUGAAACAGCAUUAACAGUCCUCGACACUUACAGUAAAAUCUCUACAGACCUGGCUGAUGAUCUCGGCCUGGGGAGAGCCUAUGAAGCCAUCGCCAAAGUCCUGCAGAGCCAAGGAGAGAUGACAGAAGCCAUUAAAUAUCUGAAACAAGUUGUGAAAAUUUUAAGAAGCAAUUUUCAGUUCCUAGAUGCUGUGAGAGCAAGUACAAUGCUUGGUGACAUCUACAAUGAAAAAGGAUACUACAACAAAGCUUCUGCAUACUUUCAGCAAGCUUUCGACACAACAACAGAGCUAACAAACAUUCCCCUGAUGGAGGAAACAAAAGUUCAUUACGGAAUAGCAAAAGCGCAUCAGAUGAUGCUGACAGUGAGCAAUUAUAUAGAGUCUGCAGACCUCGCCAGCCUUAACCAUCUACUAUCAUGGAAGGAGGGCAGAAGCAGCAUCGCGCCUGAUCCAGUUUUUAGAGAGUCAAGAAGCGCCACACUGGCAAGUUUAUAUGAAGCCUCAGAGCACUUGGAAGAACGCAAUGGCAGGCUUCCUGCCCUCUCACAGGAUUAUGAUAGCAUAUCUGCACAGUGAUGAUGGUAUACCGAAAUGGAGAAGACACAUUUGGUUAACUUUCAAGAGCUUCAUUUAAAGCAGACAAGACAAAAAGCUACAUCCACGGAGCCAACAUUCAAGAUGGAGAACACACGCUAUGUAUUAACAAGUUCAUCAGAGGACUCUGAGGAGGUAACAUGUGAACUGAAACGUGCAGAAUGAGAAGAAUGCAGCAGUGUGAAAAUCCAGAAGGAGAAGCACUCCAUCAGACAACAGCAAUGCAAAGGUCCUGAGAGAUCUUCUCACAUCUACUUUAUGGUGAAAGACUUACAAGAAUUGCUCACAUCAAUGGCAUGUGUCAACCAGCCGACCUU